CUGAUGCAUCCCUCGUGUAUUUAUAUAUUUAUAUAUAUUUAAAUAUACAGACAGUUUAGAUAAAUGUUAAGUUAAAACAUCUCACAAUAAUUGCACAAAUAACGUCAUGCUUUGGCAAACAAAGGAACAAAAUAAAAUGUUGCAGUUCAAAGAUGUAAACUCACCAGGUAAGAAGACUGAUAACGUAAUUAAUAAAAUAAAAACAUCAAUAACACGACUAUGAAUUAGUCCCGGUACUAAAGUCAGUGUUCAUGAAUUUUCAUAAUAGUACCAACUUCAGGUCAACUUACUGGCUUUUUCCCCAGAACCAUACCACACAGUUUUCAUCAGCAGGUUGAGUCUGCUCAGUUGUCAUGAAGAUCAUCACCAUGACAACUGAGCAAACUCCUUGGAGACGGUGAAAUUUCCUGCUCAACCAGUUUAUCAAAUGUGAAGCUUGUGCAAUACGGACGGUGGCAGUGGACCAAGUGACUGAGACAGAAAUGGAUUUUUAAGUCAAUUUAAGCAACUCAGUUAUCAUCGAUUUUAACAGCAACUCAACAUUAAAAGAAAAGGUUAACAUGAAUUAAAACAGAUCUUUGUCUAUUCACCGUCUGCCUGUAGUUAAUCACAUCUUAAAGCCUCUCAAGAUGAAGAUCCAACCAGUGGUGAAGAUGUUUGAACUCACUGAUCCAGCUUUUGGGGGAACAUGAGGGCAAAAGCCGCAGAUAGCACAUGAUACGUGGUUCCUGAUGCUGAUCCCAUGAGCCAUCAGGCUUCAGCCACUUCAGCAGACAGGCGUGGAGGCACUUGGGGAAGAGUGGAUUUUCAUGGACAUGCACAUUGUGGAUGUGGUUGCCACUGUUUCCUCUCCACUCCUGAUCCAGAUGAUGAUCCAGAUGAUGAUCCAGAUGCGGACCAGUAGACGUGAUCAUCGAUGAUCUUUUGCCACAAUUUGAUCUGCUGUUCUUCUCUUUGGGGAUGACGUCCACCUGCUGAGAAACAGUUUGAAAAUAUGUCAUGUCAGGAUUAGCUGUGCUAUAAAUAAUCAAUAAACUACAUUUUCCUAAUGAGCCUACCAUUAAUAAAUACUGGUCCAGUAUACAACUUAUACAACUGUGAUGUAGAAACUUGAAGUCACCAGUGCACAGACACUGAGAAUGGACUUUACAGUGAAGUAGAAGACAUCUUGUGUCCAGCAGGAAAACUUUAGAAAUGAACAACAUUUGCAUAUUUAUGUACAGGACUUUUCAAUGAAGUAGAUGAGGAGUAGAUAGAAGUCAUUUUUAAGGAUUUCAAUGUGGAAAUUAAACUUUCUUGGCAGAAAAAACAUGUCAGAAACACAUUUUUGUUUCAAACAGACUCUUUGUAUAAAUGUCUUAAUAUGUCUGGAGGGGAUCUUUAUUCCAGACUCCAGAUCAUUCCUUCCUUUUCAGACGAUGCUUCCCACUGUACAAACUACAAGUCAAGAUGUAAUACUCAGACUGUCCCAAGAGUUUCCCUGUUGCAGUGUUUGGACACAACCUUGUCCCUUGUGACAUAACUGCACUGAGACAAUCAAGAAACUAAUCAAUCAUU